UUAUCUAUUUGAGGUGGACUGGUCUGAGAGAAAAUAUAUGUCGAUGCAAGACGAUGAAAGUGCUGGAGACAAUCAUAGGAGAAGAUGACGCUACUAGAAGAAAUAGAUGAUGGUAGUUAGAAAAGGUUUCGUGUAAUGAUAUAUAGAUGGAGGCGGACAGAAAAGGUGAUGGAGAAGAUAAAGAUGGAGGCGUACUAUAGCAUAGGAGAAGACGGGGAUGGAUUACUUCUUAAUUACUUAGUAAUGACCCUUUUUUAUUAAUUUUUAUUAGUCUGCCCAAUUAUUUAAUUGAUAUUUGCUAACUUCACUGAUCUAUAUAGGUGUAAAAAUUUUAUUUCAAAAGUUAUAUGUAUUUUUAAUUUAUAGUAAUAAAUUUUUAUUAUAUGUAUU